UACGUAGGGUGCAAGCGUUGUCCGGAAUUAUUGGGCGUAAAGAGCUCGUAGGCGGUCUGUCGCGUCUGCUGUGAAAACCUAGGGCUUAACUCUAGGCGUGCAGUGGGUACGGGCAGGCUAGAGUGCGGUAGGGGAGACUGGAAUUCCUGGUGUAGCGGUGAAAUGCGCAGAUAUCAGGAGGAACACCGGUGGCGAAGGCGGGUCUCUGGGCCGUAACUGACGCUGAGGAGCGAAAGCAUGGGGAGCGAACAGG
rnacentral:rRNA from 1 species